rnacentral:lncRNA from 1 species
CGACAAUUUACAAGCGCAUUAAGUGUAAAUACGGCAUUAUUUCUAAUGAAAAGACCGCCAGGGUUAGAGUGUUUUUAUGUGGUUUGUUAAGGAGCAAACUCGCUUUUAAAAAAAAGAAAUGUGUAUUAAUUUCGAUCCAGAUUUGUUCCUGAACAUGGUCGCCAUGAAAACACUCUGUAGAGCAAGCUCAGCGACGUACGGUCAUAAUAGCGUCGUCGGAAGUUUGCAUUCAGCAUUUUCGUUCAAAAUUGAACGUACAUUAUGCUAUGCUAGGGUUGCGUACAAUCGGUACCCACACGAUGUGUAGCAAUUCUAAAGGAAUAACUAAUACGUAUAAAUAGGGUGUGCGCACGAAGUUUUUUUCGCAGGCCUUUAAUAACUUCGGGGAAAAUAAUAAAAAAAGCAGUGUCCGUGGUCGGGGCUGAAUAGUACUGUGGAAGAUUGGGUUGGAAAAUUUGCAAUUAAGAUCUGUAUUUUUGGG